rnacentral:lncRNA from 1 species
GGAGAAGAAGGUAAAAAUGCUCCUCCUACUAAAGAUGGUGCUAACGGAGGAGGAGAAGAUGGUAGCAAUGAUAAUGGUGAUGGUGGGAGUGAGAAUAGUGGUGAGGGUGGUGAUGAGGAAGAAGAAGAAAAUGAUGAUGGUGGGAGUGAUGAGAACAAUGAAGAUAAUAAUGAAGACGAUGAUGACGUGGAUGAAGAAGAUGCAGAGGAAGACAACUUUGAAGGAGAAGAGGAUGAUGAAGAAACCCUUCCACCACCAAAGAAGAGAAAGAAGUAGAAAAAGAAAAAGAAGAAGAAGAAGAAAAAGGAAAAAUAUGCUAACAGUGAAAGCGCUUUCUAAUUAUCCUA